rnacentral:rRNA from 1 species
UACGUAGGGUGCGAGCGUUAAUCGGAAUUACUGGGCGUAAAGCGUGCGCAGGCGGCGCGUUAAGACAGGUGUGAAAGCCCCCGAGCUUAACUUGGGAAUUGCGCUUGUGACUGGCGUGCUGGAGUGUGGCAGAGGGGAGGUGGAAUUCCACGUGUAGCAGUGAAAUGCGUAGAGAUCUGGAAGGAACACCGAUGGCGAAGGCAGCCCCCUGGGCUAACACUGACGCUCCAUGCACGAAAGCGUGGGACAAACAGGAUAGAAGACCUUGGUAAGUUCCAGA